AGUGGGAUAGCUGGGUCAAAUGGUGGUUCCAUUCCACAUUUUAUGAAGAAUCACCAUACUGCUUUCCAGAGAGGUUGCACCAAUUUGCAGUCCCAACAGCAUU
rnacentral:pre_miRNA from 1 species